rnacentral:lncRNA from 1 species
GCAUAUAUAUAUAUAUAUAUAUAUAUAUAUAUAUAUAUAUAUAUAUACCUGGUUGGUUAUCUCUCGAAUUGAGGAAGACAAUUGUCUUUGUGCGUUUUUGUGCACAAAGACAUCUGUGCUUGUAGAUUUAAGUGGAAAAGCCGAUGCACAGAGACAGUCCCACUCUCUCAGCAUUGGAAGCCUGGGUCCAGUGGCAGGAAAAGUCAUUACACUUGGAGACUUCCUCAGCUGCAUUGGAUGGCCAUGUUGUCUUUUGUGCUCCAACACGCCCUAAGCACUCCACAAUGCCUUGCUGCGUCGCCAUCUCAGCCGUUGAACCUUCUUGUUGGUUUCUUCAGCCUGUUCCGCUGAAACAGUCUUCACAUGCUGGUCUACUAGUACACUGA